rnacentral:rRNA from 1 species
UACAGAGGUCCCAAGCGUUGUUCGGAUUCACUGGGCGUAAAGGGUGCGCAGGUGGGUUGGCAAGUUCGAUGUGAAAGCCCCGGGCUUAACCCGGGAAUGGCAUUGGAAACUGCUGAUCUGGAGGAUUGGAGGGGGGACUGGAAUUCUUGGUGUAGCAGUGAAAUGCGUAGAUAUCAAGAGGAACACCAGUGGCGAAGGCGAGUCCCUGGACAAUACCUGACACUGAGGCACGAAAGCCAAGGGAGCAAACAGG